rnacentral:rRNA from 1 species
UUGGAGGGCAAGUCUGGUGCCAGCAGCCGCGGUAAUUCCAGCUCCAAUAGCGUAUAUUAAAGUUGUUGCAGUUAAAAAGCUCGUAGUUGAAUUUCGGGAUUAGUACGUCGGUCGUGCCUUAGGUACGUACUGGUGUUACUGGUUCCUACCUUCUGACGAACCAUCAUGUCAUUAAUUUGGUGUGGUGGGGAAUCAGGACUGUUACUUUGAAAAAAUUAGAGUGUUUAAAGCAGGCUCGCGCUUGAAUACAUUAGCAUGGAAUAAUGAAAUAGGACGUUGAUCCUAUUUUGUUGGUUUCCAGGAUUGACGUAAUGAUUAAUAGGGAUAGUUGGGGGCAUUAGUAUUCAAUUGCCAGAGGUGAAAUUCUUGGAUUUAUUGAAGACUAACUACUGCGAAAACAUUUGCCAAGGAUGUUUUCAUUAAUCAAGAACGAGAGUUAGGGGAUCGAAGACGAUCAGAUACCGUCGUAGUCUUAACCAUAAACUAUGCCGACUAGGGGUCGGAUGAUGUUAUUUUUAAUGACUCAUUCGGCGCCUUACGGGAAAC